rnacentral:rRNA from 1 species
AACGAACGCUGGCGGCAUGCCUAACACAUGCAAGUCGAACGAGACCUUCGGGUCUAGUGGCGCACGGGUGCGUAACGCGUGGGAAUCUGCCCUUCGGUUCGGAAUAACACAGAGAAAUUUGUGCUAAUACCGGAUGAUGACUUCGGUCCAAAGAUUUAUCGCCGAGGGAUGAGCCCGCGUAGGAUUAGCUUGUUGGUGGGGUAAUGGCCUACCAAGGCGACGAUCCUUAGCUGGUCUGAGAGGAUGAUCAGCCACACUGGGACUGAGACACGGCCCAGACUCCUACGGGAGGCAGCAGUGGGGAAUAUUGGACAAUGGGCGCAAGCCUGAUCCAGCAAUGCCGCGUGAGUGAUG